rnacentral:misc_RNA from 1 species
GAUGAAGAAUGUAGCGAAAUGCGAUAAGUAAUGUGAAUUGCAGAAUUCAGUGAAUCAUCGAAUCUUUGAACGCACAUUGCGCCCCCUGGUAUUCCGGGGGGCAUGCCUGUCCGAGCGUCAUUACAACCCUCAAGCUCAGCUUGGUGUUGGGCCCCGCCGCCCCGGCGGGCCCUAAAGUCAGUGGCGGUGCCGUCCGGCUCCGAGCGUAGUAAUUCUUCUCGCUCUGGAGGCCCGGUCGUGUGCUCGCCAGCAACCCCCAAUUUUUUUCAGGUUGACCUCGGAUCAGGUAGGGAUACCCGCUGAACUUAAGCAUAUCAAUAAGCGGAGGA